GGUGAAAACACUAUUACAGUAGUUGACAGCUUUUUUCCAUAAGAAAUUACAGGCAUAUUUGCGCUUGACUGUAAAUGAUGCAGUACAGGUACAGUUAUUUACUGUUGAAUGCGUUGCACGAGGCAGUUGCUUUACACAAGACCAUUUGAUGGCGGAUUGCUGAGGAGCCACAUUGCCACUCCACUCAGCCACAAUACGCAUGCAGCAGAAGUAGCUAACGCUACUGGACGGUCAGGCGCCCCGGAGUCGGGUCGUUGCCUAGCCACAGGGAGGAGAAACAUCCUGAACAGAGCGCCAUCGCUGCACAGUGAUCAACAUACAUGGCUGAAGAAUCUUUUCAGGUGAAUUUCUCACAGCAACCGUUUGGAUGCUGAGCAUCGGGGGUCAGGUGGUUGUGCCUCCACAUCCCAACUUCGUGGCUGGGAUGGCAGCUUUGUUUUCGAGCUACUACAUCUUUAAUCUGGUGUUACCGGAGCAAGCAUCUUGCACACUAAAAUUCAUUCAAAGAUGCUUCAUCGUACUGAACCCUUCAAGUGGAACCAAGACAACAAAAGUGUUGAGCCAAAAACAUGAGAACAUACAGGAGAAAGAGAGGAACUGCAUGAACCCUUGCGUCUCCUCUCUACUCAAUGGGAGGUAGGGGGAGAGGUAGACGUCAACAAAUGACAAAAAGUAACACAGAUGGUUCCUCGAAAUGCUCUCCAAGAAUCAGUUCACUAAUUAAACACGGAGCACACCGAACAGACUUGAGUCACCAACCUCGCCGGA